GACGAACGCUGGCGGCGUGCCUAAUACAUGCAAGUAGAACGCUGAAGGAGGAGCUUGCUCUUCUGGAUGAGUUGCGAACGGGUGAGUAACGCGUAGGUAACCUGCCUGGUAGCGGGGGAUAACUAUUGGAAACGAUAGCUAAUACCGCAUAACAGUAGAUGUUGCACGACAUUUACUUAAAAGGUGCAAUUGCAUCACUACCAGAUGGACCUGCGUUGUAUUAGCUAGUUGGUGGGGUAACGGCUCACCAAGGCGACGAUACAUAGCCGACCUGAGAGGGUGAUCGGCCACACUGGGACUGAGACACGGCCCAGACUCCUACGGGAGGCAGCAGUAGGGAAACUUCGGCAAUGGACGGAAGUCUGACCGAGCAACGCCGCGUGAGUGAAGAAGGUUUUCGGAUCGUAAAGCUCUGUUGUAAGAGAAGAACGAGUGUGAGAGUGGAAAGUUCACACUGUGACGGUAGCUUACCAGAAAGGGACGGCUAACUACGUG
rnacentral:rRNA from 1 species